GACGAACGCUGGCGGCACGCCUAACACAUGCAAGUCGAACGGACUUACAAGAGCUUGCUUUUUUAAGUUAGUGGCGGACGGGUGAGUAACACGUGAGCAACCUGCCUCUGAGAGGGGGAUAGCUUCUGGAAACGGAUGGUAAUACCCCAUAAAAUAUAAAUAUCGCAUGAUAGAUAUAUCAAAGAAAUUCGCUCAGAGAUGGGGUCGCGUCUGAUUAGAUAGUUGGUGAGGUAACGGCUCACCAAGUCGACGAUCAGUAGCCGGACUGAGAGGUUGAACGGCCACAUUGGGACUGAGACACGGCCCAGACUCCUACGGGAGGCAGCAGUGGGGAAUAUUGCACAAUGGAGGGAACUCUGAUGCAGCGAUGCCGCGUGGAGGAAGAAGGUUUUCGGAUUGUAAACUCCUUUUAUCAGGGACGAUAAUGACGGUACCUGAAGAAAAAGCUCCGGCUAACUACGUG
rnacentral:rRNA from 1 species